AUCCCAGGCAAUCCCAUUAAAAUGAUUAUCUGAUUCAUGGGAGGAAGAUAUUAACCAUGGAAGUUUCGCUAACAACAUCCUUAUUGUAUCAGUGUUUUUUGAUAGUAACUUACCACACAGAG
rfam:Picea glauca, whole genome shotgun sequence.